CGGCGGACGGGUGAGUAAUGUAUGGGGAUCUGCCUGAUGGAGGGGGAUAACUACUGGAAACGGUAGCUAAUACCGCAUAACGUCGCAAGACCAAAGAGGGGGACCUUCGGGCCUCUUGCCAUCGGAUGUGCCCAGAUGGGAUUAGCUAGUAGGUGGGGUAACGGUUCACCUAGGCGACGAUCCCUAGCUGGUCUGAGAGGAUGACCAGCCACACUGGAACUGAGACACGGUCCAG
rnacentral:rRNA from 1 species